CCUACGGGUGGCAGCAGUGAGGAAUAUUGGUCAAUGGGCGCAAGCCUGAACCAGCCAAGUCGCGUGAGGGAAGACGGUCCUAUGGAUUGUAAACCUCUUUUAUAGGGGAGCAAAAGACCCCACGCGUGGCGCUCCGAGCGUACCCGAAGAAAAAGCAUCGGCUAAUUCCGUGCCAGCAGCCGCGGUAAUACGGAGGAUGCGGGCGUUAUCCGGAUUUAGUGGGUUUAAAGGGUGCGUAGGCGGAAGGUCAAGUCAGCGGUAAAAGUGCGGGGCUAACCCGCGUCGAGCCGUUGAAAAUGGUGGGCUUGAGUGAGCGAGAAGCAGGCGGAAUGCGUGGUGUAGCGGUGAAAUGCAUAGAUAUCACGAAGAACACCGAUUGCGAAGGCAGCAUACCGGCGCGCAACUGACGCUGAUGCACGAAAGUGUGGGUAUCGAACAGGAUUAGAUACCCUGGUAGUC
rnacentral:rRNA from 1 species